rnacentral:rRNA from 1 species
GUGGGGAAUAUUGGACAAUGGGCGAAAGCCUGAUCCAGCAAUGCCGCGUGAGUGAAGAAGGCCUUCGGGUUGUAAAGCUCUUUUACCCGGGAAGAUAAUGACUGUACCGGGAGAAUAAGCCCCGGCUAACUCCGUGCCAGCAGCCGCGGUAAUACGGAGGGGGCUAGCGUUGUUCGGAAUUACUGGGCGUAAAGCGCACGUAGGCGGUCUUUUAAGUCAGAGGUGAAAGCCCGGGGCUCAACUCCGGAAUUGCCUUUGAAACUGGGAGACUUGAACACGGGAGAGGUGAGUGGAAUUCCGAGUGUAGAGGUGAAAUUCGUAGAUAUUCGGAGGAACACCAGUGGCGAAGGCGGCUCACUGGACCGUUGUUGACGCUGAGGUGCGAAAGCGUGGGGAGCAAACAGGAUUAGAUACCCUAGUAGUCC